rfam:Triticum aestivum genome assembly, contig: Triticum_aestivum_CS42_TGACv1_scaffold_457925_5DS
UUUAUACUCCCUCCGUCCGGAAAUACUUGUCGAAGGAAUGGAUGUAUCUAGUCAUAUUUUAGUUUUAGAUGCAUUCACUUUUACACAUUUCCAUGAUAAGUAUUUCCGGACGGAGAAAGUAUAUG